ACUGUUUAAUAUUAUAUCAUGUUGAAUUUUUCCCAAUGGUAAUCUUAUGAUGGCUGCAGCUACCUGUUAACUUCAACAAGCACAGUGGCCUGGAGACUACAUGAUGGUGUAUCAGUGAUGGUAAGAGCAUCCUUUUCCCUAGUAUUACUAGGAUUUACAACUGCAAACAUCUCAAGCAGCAGUGCCACAUCCCUGCUACCUCCCUGCUUGUGUGUGUGUCCCUACAUUAUCCAAAAUAGGGGUGGGCUAAUGACGAUUGCAGGCUAACUCCAGCCCACCACUUGCUUCUAUAAAUAAAAUCUUAUUGUACACAAAUGUAGCCAUUUAUUUAAGCACUGUUUGUGGCUGCUUUUCUGUUAAACAUCAGGGUCGAGUAGAUGAGACAGAGAGCAUGUGGUUUGCAAAGCUAAAAAUAUCCUUGCCCUUGUAGAAAAAGUUUGCCAACCCCUGACCUAAGAUAUUAAUUUUCUUCAGUUGAUAUGAAUUUGCUUCACUGAUGGUAUCAUAGAAAACUGUGAUGUGUAUUCCUUCUCCUGUGACUUAUCUCUUUCUUUUUGAUAGGAAAACUAAAAGCAAAACAAGAAG
rnacentral:lncRNA from 1 species